rnacentral:rRNA from 1 species
UACGUAGGGGGCAAGCGUUGUCCGGAUUUACUGGGUGUAAAGGGCGUGUAGGCGGAGCUGCAAGUCAGAUGUGAAAUCCCGGGGCUCAACCCCGGAACUGCAUUUGAAACUGUAGCCCCUGAGUAUCGGAGAGGCAGGCGGAAUUCCUAGUGUAGCGGUGAAAUGCGUAGAUAUUAGGAGGAACACCAGUGGCGAAGGCGGCCUGCUGGACGACAACUGACGCUGAGGCGCGAAAGCGUGGGGAGCAAACAGG